rnacentral:lncRNA from 1 species
ACUGGUGCCAAGGCUGAAGCACCAGCCCUUGGUGGUUCUGAUCUGCAGCCAAGAAGUUUCCUGCCCUUAUUUUUCCACUCUCCUUAGGAAAUGGAGAGAGCUCGCCAGCGAGAAGAGGAGGGCAGGAGAGAUUUGGAAAGAUGGAAAGAGGAGGAGAGGAUGAAGCUGCACGAAGAGCUAGAUGGCCUGAGGCAACUCUUCCUCACAGCAUUCCAGGACAUGGCCAGCAGGAACAGUGCCAUGGAGAAGAAACUGCAGGAGCUUCAGGCCAGAGAGGCGAAGGUGUCCAACCUGGGGACACUGCGGGAUGAUGACACCGAAGAGGCGCCGUGGCAGAUCCCAAGACCAGCAGAGCUGCAGGGAGAGCAGGAGAGGAUGGCAGUACAGUUGACGAAAGAGAACAAGACAGUCCAUGCUACCUCAUCCCAGGACCAUGUCCAUCAGCAGAGGGAUGCCCUCAGCAGCCGGCUCAGGGGCCAGCCCAAGGUCACGAAGGCUCAGGAGAAGGCAAGUGAAAUGAAAAAGGAGAAGAAAAGGAAAAAAAAAAAAAAAAAAAAAAAAAU